AGCAGGCGGAACGAGAAACAAAACAAUAAAUACAUAAAGAAAUUAACUGCGUGAAUUGUCUCACACAACCACGUAGACAAGGCAAGCUAGCAAAAUAUUUUCUUUUCAACUGAAAUUAUCUUUAAAAUAAAGACAUACAUUAAAAAAGGGAAUUGUAUUUGACCUCAAAAAGCUUAUUUGAAAUAAUGAAUAAUGGUUUUGGAUAGUAAUUAUAUAUAGGUACACAUUUGUGUUCUCAAUGCAGCAGGCACUUAAAAUUAACUUAUUUUAAGUAACCUGUUUUUUUUAUUAUUAUUAUUUAAAAUAAUAAAUCAUAUAUUGUACAACACCCCUGAUACAUAAUGUGUAUGGAGUAUGUGUAUCAGGAUUAUGCGUGUACGUUCAUCAUGUCACAGCAUUGCACCUGCUGUCACGUGUUACAGGGAUAGAUUCAACAGAAUCAAGACAAAGGUUUUGCAUUUUAAUAAAUGAUGCGAGAUGUUCAAAUGACAUGCAUUUUUACAUUAACACGACAACUUAAGUUGCAGUAAAAUUACAAAAAACUCGCUUUAUUUGGACUACUGGAGAUUUCAUCCAAGAAACUACUAGCUGCAUUUCCACUUGAUCCUGUAAGAGAUAAUUCUGUAAGGACUGUAAAGAAUUGUGUGUUCCCUGUUGCUCAGCCUGCUCUGCUGAAAGGUCCAUUGAAAGUUGCUGCAGUGUCAAAGGAGGUUCUGGAGGAUGUAUUAGAUUGGGAUGUUUCAGCAGCAGAAAGAGAUGAUUUCAUCCACUUUCUCAGUGGAGGAAAAUUGCUGUGUGGAUCAGUACCUCUUGCCCAUAGAUAUGGUGGCUACCAGUUUGGCGUGUGGGCUGGUCAGCUGGGUGAUGGGAGAGCUCAUUUACUUGGAGAAUAUAUAAACAGGUAAGCAGCUCAUGUGGCCUGGCCAUAGCAAACGGCAAGAUAAACUGCAGGUAUGAAUUGAUGCAAAUGAUCGGAAUGAACCCUAUUUUACACAACAUUAUAUAUAUAUAUGUGUGUGUGUGUGUGUGUUAUUAAAAUACAUCUACAGUAGUUGUUUUUGCCUCCAGUAUCUUGUUUUGCAGGUGAGAGAUGGGAGAUUCAGCUGAAAGGCUCAGGAAAGAUGCCAUAUUCCCGGUAAUAUCAAUAAUAUUGUUUCUAUAUACUUAUUGUCUGAUUUACUUUUAAGGGGUUGAGACACAUGAUACCGAUAUGUGUGGAAUACACGUAGAUUAUAGCUUUACUAUCUCAGAUGAGCUUAGAUUACAUACAGAACUUGUUUUAUCAUACUGUUGCACUUUCAACACGCAAACUAGUAGGCACCAGGCAUGUUGCAGCUUGUUGCCUUAAUUAUCUGCCAGAGCUUUAAAGUGUAUUGCAUGGUCACGUAUUGAGCACGCUAGCCCAAAUCUCCAGCAGUUGUGCUGAAAGUACAAAGUAGUUUAACCCUUCUGUAGGUCAUACCACACUACAGCUGCACAAGUGAGAUCAUGCAUUUAAAUCCUACUUUCAUUUGCCUCCAGUGCACUAUCAGACUAAAAUAUUUAUAGAAUGGAAGUGUUAAGAGAAUAAAUUGACAAGCCAUGGGUUCAAAUCUGACUCACUGGGCUUUGUUUCAAUGAUAUAAACCAGUAGUUCUCCACUGCAGUUUCUGGUAGCUCUGAACAGUUCACUUGUAACUGGUGAGCAAAAGCCUAUUAGGCCUAAACAUUUGUCUGCUUGAUCUUGUUUAGAUAAUUGGUAGAGGCAGUGGAAGAAAGAUGCUGCUGCUCAUUUGAGCCAACAGAGGUACAUGGUUUCCAAGCCUGGUGAAGUAAAGUCCCCAAGCCGUCAAUAUCGCAGUUAAAGACACUGUCUGAAAGAGCCUGGUUUUCGCAUCCAAGCUGUUGUACAGCAUCCUUUUGAAUGCAAAUGUUUCAGAUCGGCAGACUGACUUGGAUAUAAAAAGCUGUAUUUGUUUUGCAGCCUCAUUGUCAGCAAUGAAGUGGUAUGAAGAAACCAGUUCUAUAAUGGACAUGUGAAGAAGGAAAAGGGAGCAAUUGUUGCAUGUGUAGCAAAAUCAUGGUUUCGUAUAGGAUCACUGGAAAUAAUAGCAAGCUUUGGUGAGAUCAAUUCGUUAAGGUGAGAUGACUUUAAUGUUUCAUUCUGACCUAACAAGUAUUGAACAAAACACAUCUACUAUAUGGAAUAACUUCUACGGAAAACCAGUUAUUGUUUUAAAUUGUGUUCAUUUUGUCUGGAAAACAUGUAUCAAUGUAUUUUAAAUUGAUUACCUGUUUUUAAAAUCAAAAUCAGCUUUGAACAGCCACAAGUUUAAUCGACUAACGAGAUUGUAUUGUGUUGCUGUGAGACAAAGGCCGUAACAGUGGAGAUUCCACCUCCUGGACCUGCUCAUUAUAUUUAUACUGGCAGCUCUUUGAUAAUGACUUUAAAAGCAUGGCGUGUAAGGGUUAAGCAGCAGUACAGAGAUGUGCGUGGGUUAGUUAAGUUACAACAAGCAACUAAUAACGUGUGACUAAAUUCAACAUAAUAGUGUAUAACCUUUGUUGUUUUCAAAAACACCAGAACUGGGUGCUUCCAAUGGCUCUCAGUUAGUGUAUGCAUAAUAGCAUAUCAGUAGAUUAACUCUGAUUUAAACAAAUACAGUAUGCUAAUGAAAUUGCUAAUAUAGAGAAAAUCACUCAUACACACACACAGUAUCCAUGUCAGCUGCUUUAAGCUGUUGCAAGUAGAAUCUUGUCAAGUAUGUAAAGGACUUUACUUCAUGCUGUAGCAUGACUGUCAUGAUCAGUUAUUAUCUGCCCGCUGCUGCAUGAAAGCUUCUCUUGAAAAGUCUUCUGAUCUGGGUCUGCUGGUGUGUUCGUACAUUUCAGUAUUGUCUCCAUCUCCACCUUGGUCACCAUCAUGUCAUUGCUAAUGAGUUCUACAUUAUUUGUGAAAUACAUGUUGGAGGAUAAUCAUUUAUUAAAGUCACAAAAAUGAAAAAUGACAUGCAUUGCCAUGUGACUGAAACAUUCAUGGCUAUUGGUGUAGUCUGUGUUUAAAACACUCUGGAAGGACUGUCUUUCAUCUUGGAAAGCAAACCCAGAGAGUAGCAGGCUGCCUUAACUGAAGAAUGGUUCUCAACAUUGUGGCAGUGUGUUACAUUGUGACUGUUGUUUACCCCCAGGAAAUUAUUAAACUUAGACAAACAUUUCCCAUCAUGCAUGCAAGCGACUCAGAUAAGUAUCUGGUGAGUAUGAGAAAGGAAUAAUGAUAUAUAGUGUUCAGAGGGCUAUCUAAACUUCGAUUAGCUGACAUGGUGUCUCGGUACACCAGUGUCCGGAAGGUUUACAUCCUUAAAUGCCUUUUGAGAUCGCAACAUUGCCAUCUUGCUGAGAUGUUUAAUUAACUCCAUUACUUUGUUGACAUCAAAUCAAAACUGUAUUCAAGAUAUAUUUUUUUGUAUUUGCAAACAGAAACUGCCCUUGGCUAGAAUAAAAUAUUUUCUUUUCAAAUCUAAUAACAACAUCAUAGUGGAGGCUUCAUAUUUUAAUUGGAGAUUUCAAUUAACAUGGGGUCUAUAGGUUCAUACAGUGUUCAUUUUCUAAAUAAAAUGUAGUUCACAUCUUUACAACCUAGCAUUUAAAGUGUAUUUUUUAGCAUUUAAUUUUCUUGCAGUGGAACACACACACAUUGAUAGCAUGUAUUUUAUAUUGCUGAGGUUCUCAAAAUAUACUGUAGUUAAAGUAUGUUUUGCAUUUGUACUGAAGUUACUCAUUAUUUAUUGCUAAGUACAUCUGCUGUGUGAUUCUAGGCUGAGUCUACACUGACAUCUGUUGGCUGUAGGACUGAAGUAGACUUGGCUUUGCUGUCUGGCAUUGACAUGAACAUCCUCUUUCAGCUCAUUUCAAAAGUUCUUAUGUAAGAGCUUUAAAUACAUUUGCUUAAGCAGCAUUUCUUAAAAAGCCAAGGCCAUUCAUCAGGAACCAUACGCAUUAGGGUUGGGUAUUCCAGGAAGCCGAUAAAUAGUUACAAUAGGCUUUGCAUUUGUUUUCUAUUUCAAAUAUUAUGUAAAUUUUUCUUCCAGGGUGGCCCCCCCACCUUUCUUCUUCUCCUUCUUCUUCCUCCUCCUCCUCCUCCUUCUCCUCCUCCUCUUCAUCUUCUUCUUCUUGUUUCCUCCUCUUCACCAUAAAUAUAGCUAUAAUUAAUUGUUGUCUACUUUUAAUAAAUACUUCAAUUGUAAUUGACAAUACUUACGAUUGAAGGUAUGAAGCGUCACAGACUCCGCCAUUAAAACAUGUUUAUAUUAUGCUUGUCCAGGACUUCUUCUCCAGAGUAGUGACGGACAUUGCCAAUCUUAUUGCACUUUGGAUGUCAGUGGGGUUUGCACAUGGUAAUACAUGUACUGUACUUACUAUAUUAAUGUGAACAAAGCUACAAACCUGUACUAUGCAAAUGCAUUGAAGAGAAAAAACUGUUAUUUAUCUCAAUUUGCUAACACAAAACACAUUUCCUUUUCAGGUGUAUGCAACACAGACAACUUUAGUUUGUUGUCAUUUAUGGAGUCAUAUGAUCCCAGUUCCAGGAUUUAUUUAAAUCCAAGCUAGGUUUCCUUGGAGAAGAAGCUGGUGAUGUCUAUUUAUUGCAUACUUGCUGAAGCUCAUGGAAGACACACAAGCAGAUUUUACAAUGAUUUUCUGGCUGUUAAGUGAGAUUUCUGUACAACAGCUACAGGAUCAAGGUAUUCCACAGGUACCUUUAGUGAUACUUUCAUUUUGAGGAAAAAAGUAUCUACAGUGGCUCUCAAAAGUAUUCACCCCCCUUGGAUUUUUCCACAUUUUAUUGUGUUACAACAUGGAAUCUAAAUGGAUUUAAUUAGGAGUUGUUGCCACUGAUCAACACAAAAAAGUCCAUAAUGUCAAAGUGAAAAAUAAAAUCUACAAAUUGUUCUAAAUUAAUUACAAAUACAAAACAGAAAAUUGAUUGCAUAAGUAUUCACCCCCUUGAGUCAAUAUUUGGUAGAGGCACCUUUGGCAGCAAUUACAGCCAUGAGUCUAUUUGGAUAAGUCUCUACCAGCUAUGCACAUCUGGACACUGCAAUUUUUCCCCAUUCUUUGCAAAAUUGCUCAAGCUCAGUAAAGAUGGAUGGGGACCUUUGGUGAACAUCAAUUUUAAACUCUUUCAACAUAUUCUCAAUUGGAUUGAGGCCCGGGCUUUGACUGGGCCACUCCAGGACAUUGACCUUUUUGUUUUUAAGCCACUCCAGUGUGGCUUUGGUUGUAUGUUUGGGGUCAUUGUCCUGCUGGAAGAUGAAUCUUCUCCCAAGUCCCAGGUCUCUUGCAGACUUCAGCAGGACUCCAUUCAACUAACUCUGUGACUUCUAAAGACAAUUGGUUGCACCAGAGCUUAUUUAGGUGUGUCAUAGCAAAGGGGGUGAAUACUUAUGCAAUCAAUUAUUUUCUGUUUUAUAUUUGUAAUUAAUUUAGAACAAUUUGUAGAUUUUAUUUUUCACUUUGACAUUAUGGACUUUUUUUGUGUUGAUCAGUGGCAAAAACUCCUAAGUAAAUCCAUUUUGAUUCCAACCUUUAUAUAUGAUGAUCUGUGCCAAUGUGGUAUUUUUUAUUUAUUUUUUGCUCAGGAAUUGUGGGCUUUACAGGACCUUGCCAGUCACAAAUUAUUUUCAGACUGGGUCCCUAUGUAUUUGUUAAGGCUAAAAAGGUAAGAUUUCUAAACAGUCUUACAGGUUUAUUUUGCUUGGUAGUGAUCAUACACUCUCACAACACUGGGAAUGUGUGAGAAUAAUAUUGAAAAUACCUCUAUACUAAGUGGCAAUCCAAAAAGCAAAUACAUCCAUAUGACACAGUAGAAACCUUUCCCAUAUAUGUUAUGAUAUGAAAUGUAUCUGGGAAUGAUGUUCCAAUAAAGAUGUUGAUUAUGCAUGCAUAUUGGUAUUUUAUUUUUAGGAAUGCAAGUAAUUGUGAUAAAGAAAGAGAAUGAAAAGGAUAAAUCCUAGACAUUCUAAGGAACUGGAGUCUGCAGUUAGAAAAGCUGAAAGGAGUGACUUCUCUGAGGUACCUUGAAUUUGAAUGGAUUCAUGUAAAAUCUAAAUGUUUCUACGUGUGGUAGGACGUCCUCUUAUGACACAACCUGCAAGGUGGAACGAAGCUUUCCUUAUUAUAUUGGGUGCUUAGUCUACUGUAUUGACUGUUUAGUGGUGUAGUAAAAACCAGACUUUUAUACCGACCAGGUGCAUCUUCUGCAGGGCCCCCUUCCAGAAGCAGACAGAUGCUUCCCGUCCUCUUAGCUGGCCUGAAGACCUACGUGUUAGCUGCUCAUCUUGACCACUGCAGGAAGCACAUAACCAGCGGAGGAGCAACCUACGUGAGAACCUUCGAGAAAAUACUUUUGUUUUCCAAAAUAGCACUUUAGUGUAGUUUAUCAAAUAUUUAUAUUUUUAAUAAACUUAAUUGCAAUGGUGGUGUGCAUUAUCCUAGCACCCCUGAAGCACCUUUAAGGGUUCAACAAAUCUAUCAGUACAGGUUUAGUAAGUCUCCUUGUUUUUCUCAGGGCUUGUUACAUUUUAUGUCACAUUAUUAGUCUUUUUGAAUAUGACUGUGGGCACAAUUCAGAUAGGAAAUGAGGAAAUGUGAUUAAAUCUUUUUUUGUAAAAAAAGAUUUAAACUGAAUGUCCACUAGGUGGCAUUAUAUCUUGUGUUAAAAUGCCUGAAGGUUUUUCAUGAAAAAAUAUACAUGUAAUAAA